AUUGGUUCAAGUGCAAGUGCGCUUUACUCGACUGGCUCACGCUUGCUGCGCCGCCGUAUUGCCAGGAUGACAGCCCGCCCCCGAGCCUGGCUGCCUUCUGCCCGACAGACCCCAGCCUGCUCAUCUACACUGGUUACGGGAUAGAGAAAGAGUUGAUUUUCUACAGCCUCUCGAAAAAAAGGAUCAUCAAAAAGAUUGCUUUGCCUCACUGGGCCACAUGCUUCAGCCUCUCUUCCAAGAGUCAACUCAUAGCGUUGGGGUCAAAAGAACGAGUGUUGAAGCUGAUCAAAUGGACCAGCGGCAAGUUCCAAGACUUCUCACAGCACAGCGACUCGCUGCAGACGUGUCGUUUCUCGCCCUCAGGGACACUCCUCUUCUCUGUGGCUCAUAAUGAGAUUCUGCUGUGGGAGGUGAACGGCCUCUGAGAAGCCGCUUUGGUUUUUUUGUUUUGGGUCCCCCCAAGUUCAAACCUUGUAGGUUUGUGCCCAUCCAC